GACGAACGCUGGCGGCGUGCUUAACACAUGCAAGUCGAACGGAAAGGCCCUGCUUUUGUGGGGUGCUCGAGUGGCGAACGGGUGAGUAACACGUGAGUAACCUGCCCUUGACUUUGGGAUAACUUCAGGAAACUGGGGCUAAUACCGGAUAGGAGCUCCUGCUGCAUGGUGGGGGUUGGAAAGUUUCGGCGGUUGGGGAUGGACUCGCGGCUUAUCAGCUUGUUGGUGGGGUAGUGGCUUACCAAGGCUUUGACGGGUAGCCGGCCUGAGAGGGUGACCGGCCACAUUGGGACGGAGAUACGGCCCAGACUCCUACGGGAGGCAGCGGUGGGGAAUAUUGCACAAUGGGCGGAAGCCUGAUGCAGCAACGCCGCGUGCGGGAUGACGGCCUUCGGGUUGUAAACCGCUUUCGCCUGUGACGAAGCGUGAGUGACGGUAAUGGGUAAAGAAGCACCGGCUAACUACGUG
rnacentral:rRNA from 1 species